rnacentral:tRNA from 1 species
GCCCCCAUAGUUUAGCUUGGACAGAACGUUGGCUUGCGGAGCCAAUAACCCAGGUUCAAAUCCUGGUGGGGGCG